rnacentral:rRNA from 1 species
ACGAACGCUGGCGGCGUGCUUCACCCAUGCAAGUCGCACGGAAAGGCCCUGCUUUUGUGGGGUGCUCGAGUGGCGAACGGGUGAGUAACACGUGAGUAACCUGCCCUUGACUUUGGGAUAACUUCAGGAAACUGGGGCUAAUACCGGAUAGGAGCUCCUGCUGCAUGGUGGGGGUUGGAAAGUUUCGGCGGUUGGGGAUGGACUCGCGGCUUAUCAGCUUGUUGGUGGGGUAGUGGCUUACCAAGGCUUUGACGGGUAGCCGGCCUGAGAGGGUGACCGGCCACAUUGGGACUGAGAUACGGCCCAGACUCCUACGGGAGGCAGCAGUGGGGAAUAUUGCACAAUGGGCGGAAGCCUGAUGCAGCAACGCCGCGUGCGGGAUGACGGCCUUCGGGUUGUAAACCGCUUUCGCCUGUGACGAAGCGUGAGUGGCGGUAAUGGGUAAAGAAGCACCGGCUAACUACGUG